rnacentral:rRNA from 1 species
ACGAACGCUGGCGGCAGGCCUAACACAUGCAAGUCGAGCGCGCCCUUCGGGGUGAGCGGCGGACGGGUGAGUAACGCGUGGGAACGUGCCCUUUUCUACGGAAUAGCCUCGGGAAACUGAGAGUAAUACCGUAUACGCCCUUUGGGGGAAAGAUUUAUCGGAAAAGGAUCGGCCCGCGUUGGAUUAGGUAGUUGGUGGGUAAUGGCCUACCAAGCCGACGAUCCAUAGCUGGUUUGAGAGGAUGAUCAGCCACACUGGGACUGAGACACGGCCCAGACUCCUACGGGAGGCAGCAGUGGGGAAUCUUAGACAAUGGGGGCAACCCUGAUCUAGCCAUGCCGCGUGAGUGAUGAAGGCCUUAGGGUUGUAAAGCUCUUUCAGCUGGGAAGAUAAUGACGGUACCAGCAGAAGAAGCCCCGGCUAACUCCGUG